CUACGGGCGGCUCCAGUGGGGAAUAUUGCACAAUGGGCGCAAGCCUGAUGCAGCCAUGCCGCGUGUAUGAAGAAGGCCUUCGGGUUGUAAAGUACUUUCAGCGGGGAGGAAGGGAGUAAAGUUAAUGCCUUUGCUCAUUGACGUUACCCGCAGAAGAAGCACCGGCUAACUCCGUGCCAGCAACCGCGGUAAUACGGAGGGUGCAAGCGUUAAUCGGAAUUACUGGGCGUAAAGCGCACGCAGGCGGGUUGUUAAGUCAGAUGUGAAAUCCCCGGGCUCAACCUGGGAACUGCAUCUGAUACUGGCAAGCUUGAGUCUCGUAGAGGGGGGUAGAAUUCCAGGUGUAGCGGUGAAAUGCGUAGAGAUCUGGAGGAAUACCGGUGGCGAAGGCGGCCCCCUGGACGAAGACUGACGCUCAGGUGCGAAGCGUGGGGAGCAAACAGGAUUAGAUACCCCCGUAGUC
rnacentral:rRNA from 1 species